AACGAACGCUGGCGGUAUGCUUAACACAUGCAAGUCGAACGAGAACGUUCCUUCGGGAAUUAGUAGAGUGGCAGACGGGUGCGUAACACGUGGGAACCUACCUUAUAGUACGGAAUAGCCCCGGGAAACUGGGAUUAAUACCGUAUACGCCCUUCGGGGGAAAGAUUUAUCGCUAUAAGAUGGGCCCGCGGCUGAUUAGCUUGUUGGUGAGGUAAUGGCUCACCAAGGCAACGAUCAGUAGCUGGUUUGAGAGGAUGAUCAGCCACACUGGGACUGAGACACGGCCCAG
rnacentral:rRNA from 1 species